rnacentral:rRNA from 1 species
AAUGACUCUCGGCAACGGAUAUCUCGGCUCUCGCAUCGAUGAAGAACGUAGCGAAAUGCGAUACUUGGUGUGAAUUGCAGAAUCCCGUGAACCAUCGAGUCUUUGAACGCAAGUUGCGCCCGAAGCCUUCCGGCCGAGGGCACGUCUGCCUGGGCGUCACGC